rnacentral:lncRNA from 1 species
AUGGAUGUAUUGGUGUUCUACAAAGGAAUCAGCCAGCAGAUUCAAGGUCUCACGGACAUGGUGCAAGGACUGGACUCUGAAAGCCUCAAUAACUUCACCAGGCAAAGAGUUUGUGGACACAAAGCUUCAGGCAGCCUGGGCAUUGAAAAACGUGAUGAGGACUCUAGCAACAGCUUUGAAGCAAUAAUGCACACAGGUGCUCAGUGGCAAGAGGCAACAGACUUAAUGAAAGCAUUGAGAAUCCUGCUUGGGAGAGCUCAGCAUAAGAAUGCAGCUGUGAAACAAGAGAUGGAGCAGCAGGUCCCAGGACAGGAUGUGGUGGCGGAGUCCAGCCAAACCAGUGAAGGUAAAGCAGAAGUGGUGGAUGGGCAGGAUCCUGACCUGCCUAAACAGUGUGAGGCCUUCAGUAGGAAAGGUGCUUCUUUCAGCUUCCUUGGGCACGAAGAGCUUGGCUUGCAUCCCCAGCUGGCCUGUCUGACUGAGUUGGAGGUGGAGGGCCUGAUAGCAGCUUCUCCGCUUGCCAWGAGUCUGCGUGAGAUCAAGCAGGGUUUGGUGAUGCUGCAGCAGCUUUCAGACCUCAGUGCUGCAGAGAGACGUUUAAGUGACAGUUCCUCAGAAAAUACCAGAAGUAUGCUGGUCCCCGCAGAUCUGGCCAGUUUGUCCCCUUACCAGUUUAUGGUGUAUCGCUUUGGCUGUGCAGUGGUUCACCUGUUAAUCAGGGCCUAUUCAUGCCCAGCUCUGGUUCUUAUGCUGGCUCAGUCAGUUCCUGCCCAGAGUCCAGAUCAAGAUGUUCUCUCAAUCCUUGGAGACUCGCACUAUGACGCCAUCAAUAAGUACCUGUAUAUACGUGCAGCAAGGCUGGAGGAUGCUGGGGAAUUUAUUGCCAUCUUGCUGAAUGCUGUGGCACAGAUCAAAGCAGGUUCUGCCUCAACUGGUAUUGUUCAUUCCUGCUUUCUGACGGAGCUCAACAGAGCUAUUGCGGUUCUGGCCAGUGCCUCUUUCCAGCAUUUGUGGGGGAUAGCAGAGAAGGAUGCAUCAGGAGGCAGCUUAUCCACUCGUUUUGACCCCCAGACAAUGCUCAAAGAACUUGUGAGCAUCAGAGUAUUGCCUUAUCGCUGUGUCAAGGAGAAAGCCCUGGAUGAGAGACUGCAGCAGUACCAGUGCCUUCAGCUGCCUGUGACAGAAAAAUCACAGAAAAGAGAAGAAAACCGAAGUACAGGCUCCUCUGAUUUUAAGCUGAAGUUUGCAAAAUUGGAGGAGACGUUGGAUAAGUUAAACGAGGAGUUUUUUGAACUGACGAUACAGGCCUUGAGAAGCCAGGAAGAAGGGGAAUUGUUGGAGCAGGAGCUCAGAAUGCCGGAGGAGUCAACCGUGACAGCAAGCAUCAACCAUGUGUGCGGAGCUCAGUGCUUUCCAGAGCUGCUGGAUUCUUGGGCCACAAAGAGGGAUGAAGCCCUGUUGCUGGAAAUACAGAGGAGCUGCAUUGCUCAGAGGAUUGAAGAGACAGAAGCAGAACUGUUUUAUCUUCUGCAAAAUAAAAUAGCCACUAGAUCACUUUCUUGA